AACGGAUCGAACAUAACCAUAAGAACCAGUAUCUCGAUGAAAUAACUUUUAGAGAAGAAAUCGAAGAGCCUUAAUGUGAACACUUGUCGUGUUGGCCUUAUUUCACGAGUAGAAAUAUGUCUGCCGGUACAUGCAAUUUGCUCAAGUACUCAAGAUAUCUAAUCUCUGAUCAUUGCUACCCGGUUACAUAACUUUCGAGAUGCUAUAACAUUACUUCCGUUCCUCGAUACUUAAUUGGUAAACCGAAGGAAAAAUCAAAGAAGAAUGUAUUUUAUAUUUAUGCACAUUUCGUGCAACAUGUUGGUUGCUGCUUGCACUAUAAAUUAUUUGUAAAACUCAAUGAAAAAACAAACUUCAACUGCA
rnacentral:lncRNA from 1 species